rnacentral:tRNA from 1 species
UGUGCUCUUAGCUCAGUCGGAUAGAGCGGCGGUCUCCUAAACCGCAGGUCGAGAGUUCGAAUCCCUCAGGGCACAU